CCAGCAUGGUUGAAUAAUAAUAAGGCAGAACAGUUGAAACUGGAGCAGCAGCACAGUCAGGUGGAAGUUGAAACUGGAGCAGCAGCAUGGCCAGGUGGACUGGGGACAGCAAGGAGUCAUCAUGUCAGGUAGUCCUGGGGCAUGGUCCUAGGGCUCAGGUCAGUUGAAACUGGAACAGCAGCAUGGCCAGGUGGACUGGGGACAGCAAGGAGUCAUCAUGUCAGGUAGUCCUGGAGUCCUGGAGCUCAGGUCCUAGGGCUCAGGUCCUCCGAGAGAGAGAAAGAAAGAGAGAAGGAGAGAAUUAGAGAACGCACACUUAGAUUCACACAGGACACCGAAUAGGACAGGAGAAGUACUCCAGAUAUAACAAACUGACCCCAG
ensembl:lncRNA